GUGAGGAAUAUUGGACAAUGGGCGCAAGCCUGAUCCAGCCAUGCCGCGUGCAGGAAGACGCAUCUAUGGUGUGUAAACUGCUUUUGUACGGGAAGAAACACUCCCUCGUGAGGGAGCUUGACGGUACCGUAAGAAUAAGGAUCGGCUAACUCCGUGCCAGCAGCCGCGGUAAUACGGAGGAUCCAAGCGUUAUCCGGAAUCAUUGGGUUUAAAGGGUCCGUAGGCGGUUUAAUAAGUCAGUGGUUAAAGCCCAUCGCUCAACGAUGGAACGGCCAUUGAUACUGUUAGACUUGAAUUACAAGGAAGUAACUAGAAUAUGUAGUGUAGCGGUGAAAUGCUUAGAUAUUACAUGGAAUACCAAUUGCGAAGGCAGGUUACUACUUGUGGAUUGACGCUGAUGGACGAAAGCGUGGGGAGCGAACAGGAUUAGAUACCCGUGUAGUCC
rnacentral:rRNA from 1 species